UGGGCCCAUGAAAUAAACAGCUACACAAGGGGUCCAAAUGUCCUGUUAUGAGCAUGUCUUCUGGAUGCCAAACAAGCGUCAUUAUCCCAGUGGAAACAUUUGGGAAAUAAGCCUUGAAUCUGUUACUGAAACAGAUUAAAGUUCAGAUUAGAGCUCAAACAAUAUGUUAUUCAAAACCAACCAAAAAACGUUUCAGAUUUCUACAUUGUCACCAAGUUGAGCUCAGCAAAUACAAAAUGAAGUGUAUUGUUAAAUAUUUACUUUCUGAGAUGCCAAAAGGGAUGGGGCAUCCUCAGGCCCGUUGUGGCAUGCCUCGUCGGAGCCGUUCCACGGACAGUGCCGCAUCCCGCUUCCACCGAGCGUGUUUACCUUCCUUGGUUAACUUUUUACUACUGCAGAGCAGAGGCUUUAGGGAUGAGAUGCAGACGUGCUGUAGAUCAACAGACUCUUCUUCCUUGACACUUAUUUUUUUUUUCAUUUCCAGCAAACUAGCAGCUGCUUAUUGUCUUGUCUAAUCGGUACGACCUCUUCGCCUGGACUCCGCGGCGCCUGCAGAAGCAGCGUUCGCCUCCCGGCCGCGGCUGCUUUCCCUCUCGCACAGAGGCAGAGACAAGUCUCCACUGCAACUGACAGAGUUUCACUUUGCAAAUCAAUGAGGCAGUGCUACAAGGGCAGAAAAGUGUCGCCGGUGAACUUCAUGCUGUUCAGAGCUGCCAGACUGACGGCCCUGACUGACUGCUGUCUUCAUGGAACUAACCCAUGCUAAAUGUCCGAACUGCUCUGUGGCUCUCACCACCCACCCAGGCUCUUCCCUAGUGGGACCUUCUGGGGUAGUUCAGGCUCCAACCAGCAGUACGUUGUGGAAAUGUGUCCUCUCCCAAGUGCAAUCACCACUUUCAGGCCCAGCUUUCCCUGGGGGACUCGGCUUUCUUUGGGGAUAAGUGCUUCCAAGGCAGUGAAAAUGGGGGCUGCUGGUCUGUCCUCAGGAGCUGGGGGGACAGAGAGGCUGACGUCAGUGGCACACAGGAACAGGAGCUGUAAAGAGCAAGACAUUCCUAAUUAGGAAUGCCAAAAUCUGCCAUGAGGCAAAACCUGAGAGGUGGCUGGAAAUGAGCUGUGAUUCUGCAGCGUGAUCCAUAGCAGAGCGGGAAUCAGCCAGGUGAUCAGGACUAGAUGUCCGGUCUUGCUUCAGUUACGUUGGCCAUUAACAAUACUUCUCACGAGCAAACUGGACCUGCUGUUCCUGAACUCACCACAUGUGGCCACUGCCACUUGAGCGGUGGCCUCCAGGAUGAAUCACGCAAUCCUACAUGUCUAUCUGUGUAACAAAUGGGACUGUGGAAAGCGAACCUGACUAAUGUCCCCUACAAGGAGAAAAUGAUAACUGAUGCUUUUUAAUUACAAGUUUCCUGCAUUAUGGUCUAGUUUUUCAGCUUAUAAUCAUUAACGGUAUAAUACAGACUUAAGUAAAUUGCUGCCUUUUCCUUUUUUGUAACAUAUAUAUAGGUCAGAUUUUCAUGUUCAAUGGUUAUUAUCUCUGACACUAAUUAGUGCACUGACUGGCUGACAAAGGUCACAUCUGUGUUUUCUUCAUUGCGUACAAACAUGUGCUCACGCCAACUGAUUCUCCUAAUUGCCGUGUCUUCUGGAGUCAUUUCCACUAGGGCAAAAUCACUCGUUUCACUUGGUAACUGCUUUACACCCACUUUGUACUGCUGUCGGUGAAAGACAAGGUUGAGGGCAAAGGGGUGUCAGCAGUCAUCACAUCCACAGCACGUGUCCCCUGUUCUGCACUUCCUAAGUCAUAGCAGUCGCGCUUCGUGCAUCCUUGACUUCUCAAGCUCUGUGCAGUUGCAGUCAAAGGGAUGAAGUUGUUGCCUUUCCAUGAGGAAAUGAAUGGAGCUUUUAUUCCCUGUCUUGACCAAAGCACUUAGAUGGUUUUAGCCCCAGUGGAUUGUUUCUAAUAGCAGGCAAAAUUGAUCACUCAGGUACUUUGAUGCAGCCCUUUUAUUUACAAAGAAAGUACAAAAUUCCGUUUCCUUGAACAGAAGAGGAAUCAGACAAUAGGAGACACUUUCUCUGCGUGCGAUUUCAAUCCUUUCAACCAGCACUUCAUCCAGAAGCGCUCCACCAGCUUUUUUUCUCAAGGUCGUUCCUGUAGAGUUUAUCUGGUUCUGCCUGGUUUUGAUAGAAGGCUGCUCCUGUCAGACCAUAGGAGCACACAGCUACUCCAAGCACUGCCCUCCUCCCCGCGUCUUCAAAGCCCAAUGUUUCAGUCAGGAGAAACCCUGAAUGCAUCAGCUUCUCCCCCAGAGAGCUGCACAGAAAAUCCUGUUCAAGAAAGCAAGCAAACCUGGACGUCGUGUGUUUCCUUGCAACAUUGUCCUGGACAGUUUCCAAUCUGUUAAUGAAAGAACACCGACAUCUAAACGAUCCCCAGGGGAGGUUCAAGAUCCAUCUGAGUUCAGUAAGAGGUUCCUAAAUAGCUGUAAGAAACCCACACUUCAAAAGAAAUACAUUUUGCUAUUUUUAAAACAUGUGAUUUUUGGAAGGCUUUGAAUAUCAAGAUUAAUUCUCUGUCUAAACACAGUAGAAGGCAGCACUGACUGGUGAGUCUCACUCCAAUCUGGAGGGUUUCAAUAUUGUCUGGAAUCUGGAUUUGAUGUUCUAAAAGCUUAAGGUAUGACAAUGUUUAGUUUACUUUUUUCCCCAGAGCAGACUGUGCAUGUACUUACAGAUUCUUUAGUAUAUCUCACCAGAUUAAUGUGAAAAAUAUAUUACAUUAUCUAUCAGCACUUGAAAUUUUGACUUGAGGAUGCUGGUUGGAUAGAUUACUGAGCAAUGUUUAAUUGAAAGAUUUAAUGAUACUCUAAAUAAGACAUGACUCACUCUUGAACAACAGGGAAGAGCUCCUGUAUGUGAGAAAAAAGCCAAGGUCGUUUGGAGCCAGAUGUUGCUGCACAGCGUGGUGCUGCUUGCAGCAGGUAGCAAUUUAAGGUGUCUGUGGAAGCUGAGCAGAAGGGUCUGGGCAGCCGGGCAGGUUUGGAGACUGGAUUGUGCACCAGGUCACUAAAAUGACAAAGUGAAGCUGAGUGGAGUAUUCUCAGUGGAGAAUAUAGACAUCUACCGAGGAUGUCCGAGCUACGAGGCUGCUCUGCUUUCUAGUACGGUCACCGCGAGUCCUGUUCUGAACUGCUCGUUGGAGGUGCCUGUCCCUUGUCAUUGCCUAUAAUAGGUAGUCUAGGGAGCACAGAUUCCCUGUUUAGCCACCUGAGUGAUUAGCACAGUGGGAUGUAAUUUAAUAUGUCUCUGUGCUGAGGUCUUCACCCUAAAGUGCGGUACAGUUAAUAUUACUGGAGAGAGGGAGAAUGCAAAGUCCAGAACGAGAAUUCGGUUGUGGAGGCACUGAGAACAUUGGGUUUCAGAGCCUGGGUCCAAAUCCGUUAGAGAAAUGGACCACGACAGAGCUGUCACUCUGUGACAGAGAAGGGAAGGAAUGAAUCUUGGCUGUGAUUAUUUUGCGUGAAUGGACACAAUGCUCUGUCAGAGGCAGUUCUUUGACAUGGGAAAAUAUCAGUCCUGUGUUUGCUUUGAAAGCCGUGCUAUUGUUUGUUUGUUCCAGGGUCACCUCAGCAAAGCUUAGUGUCUCGCUUGCCCUAUUUUAUUCCAAAAUGCUGGACUGACUGGCAUAGACAUCUGGGUUUAUCCUAUGAUAUACGGAUAUGAGCCACAAUGAUGCUACUGCUCAGUUAAAGGUUACUAAUUACUGUCGCAGAGAUUGCAGUUCCUGACACCUUGGCAAAAUUAAUGUGAGUAAAGGUUUAAGCAACAUUCAGGUUUGAAAUCGCACUUUCUAGAUAUGCACAACAGCCUAAAUGAUAUCCACCUUACAAAAACAAUACAUGUUGUGUACACCUUCAGAACAUGGGAAAUGCCCUGCCCGGGGGUCCAUCUAUACCAGUUCUCCAUCUCAGCUGGAGAAACCAGACUCUUCAGUGUCCUACCCCUCUUUGGUAACUAAGAAUUCACUUCAUGCUGCGGUUUUUCAUUCCAUUUUACCAGGUGUACGUUCAGCUCCGGAUCAGAUGUUAAUGCCCUCAGAACAAAGACAUCUGAGCAAGAUGACGCUACUUUUAUGAUGGUAUUGAUGUUUUGACCUCAUGCCAGCAUGAUCCAGGAACAAUUCCCAUUAAGGCUAUUGAUCUUUGUAUUUUGUCACAGUUGCACUCUGAAGUACUCCAGCACUCAGCCAGCGUAUAUUCUCACAAAGGUCUCUGCGGAGGGAGGAGUAUUGACUGCUCCAUCAUGUGCAGAUCAAAUUUCAGGCUUUUAAAGUUUUGUGCAUUUGCCAGGUACACUGAAAUACAGAUACCAGCUCUUGCAACCUUCAUGUGACUUUGGCAGCAUUCACGUGGCUAUUCUGCAUGGCACAUGGACGCACCUCUCCCUCCAGGAUGGGAGGCACCACUGCCAUAGGUACGCACCAGCCGUUUUCCCUAUCUGGAUUCAGUGUCGGGUGAGAUUAGCCUGUGUGAGAAGCAUCAAGAACGUUCUGCAGGCCUGAGAGACACCACUGCAAACUCACAGCAAGCAAACUGUGGAACCUUCCCUGGGAACAGGUCUGCCUCCGGGGCUCACCUUGGCAGCACAGUUCUAGCUCUGUACACUCUGCUGACCUUGUUUUAGCCUGUUUUGGGAAUCCACUUUACCCCUGGCAGCCCCGAGAAGAGCUGUGCUGCUGUCCUUCUGCUAGUACAUCAGCCCACGGCUGCAGGAGACAGACAGAAGUUAGAACCUCCUCUGUCUCUGGAAACGUGUCUUCUCUGAGCGUGUGCAAGGACUUGAUGUGAGGAGUAGUACAGAGCUGCUCUCCACAGAUACUGGCAACCUAGAAACCCUUAAUAAAUUAAAAAAAAAAAGGGGGGGAGAGAGAGGGAAAGAGGAAGAUCACAAGCACAAAUGAGGAGGAGAGGAUCUAUCCUCAGCUCAGCUUUGAAAAUGAAGCAGCGAUAAAAAAAAAAACCCCGCAGAAUAAUGUUCUUUAGCACGGGAAGCAACAAGAGCUCAGAGCUUCUGCAGGUCCCAGGGGGAUUUCAGAAGCCGAGUUGGAGCUGGGCUCAGAGAUCUGUCUGGGGAGGCUCUCCGAGGAGGGCUGGGACCAGCGGGUGAGGAGAAGUGAUGGGUUGGAGGCCAGGGUGGGCAGAUUUGCCACUUGGAGAAUUCAGGUCCAAAGGGAAGCUCAUACUCCCUUCCCUACAGUGAAGCCACUGGGCAGGGAAAGAACUGGGAGGUGCUGAGGGUGCUAUUGUUUCAGUGUUUGAACAAGCAGAGGACCAGCACACAAGCACUGUGAGAGGAGUGUGGCAUUCAGGAAGCUCCUACUCUGCUCCCUACCCACCGUCGGAACCAGCUGAAGCCCACUGGGAAGCCCUGGCCUUUUGAGUGCUCGCUGGGGUGCCGUACACAUUGGGUGGGCUGGGGCGCUUGUUUGUUUGUUGCGUGCUAAGCCUCUUUCCAUCACGUUGAAUGUUGUACAGAUGACAAACAAACAACAGAAAAGCUGUUCUCCCACACCAAGCCAUGUAUGCCAGGGUUCACGCAUUCAGGCACAGCUGCUGCCUUGUUUGUUUUAAAGCUUUUCAGCACAAAAUUGUGGGCAGGCCCAGCCUGCAGUUCUCGGGUCUUCCCCGGGAGAUCUGACGGCAAUGAGAGGUUUGUGAAAACCAUGUGGAAACCCAAAUCUCAUAUAAUAUUCUUUUCUCACAAAAGUACAAGCUUUAAACUGUCCUGAGCCAUGAAAUUCUGAUGCGGGCAUUACAGAGAAAUGAACUGAGCCUCACAGUAGCUCUGGGAAAGAAAUAUUACUUCUUAUUUUACAGCCUGCUCAAGAACUGCUUUUAAAAGGCAUUUAAAUGUCUCCUUCACGUAUUCCAAAAGAUUAAAGUAAUUUUUUUCAAAAGCAGCUCCUGACUAUAGAUAUCUGUUUCUAGAACCUGCAGGCCUGUUGUUUCUCAGAAUGACUGCAUAUUUAUACAUAGGAUACUGAAAUAUUAAAAAUAAAUAAGCAUUACUUUUUUCUCUUGUCUU